UCUCGUCGUGUAACCAUCGUUAGAGAAAGAUCGCAAAACCUUAGCAGAAAUUAAUCGAAUUGAUUACAUUACACAGCCCUGGAUUUGCUAAAAGACCACAAGGGAGAUACUGAAGAUCUACCGAAAGGAAAGGAACCAAGAGAAGGAGAAACAGCAGAGACACAAAAAGAAAAAACUGUCCUAGAGAAUUUAGAAAUUCUUGCCCCAUAUCAGGAAGCAACAAACAGCAAUGUCCGCCUUCACUAUCCUGCAGGCAAAUUUAAACCAUUGCCGCGCAGCGCAAGACGUCCUAUGGCAGGCCGUACACGACUACCGUGCCGACAUCGUAGUGAUCAGUGAGCCAUAUCGCCCCCUGCCAGAAUGGCACACCGACCCAAGCGGAACCCUAAGCAUUUGGUAUGUGCAGCGAACACCGUCGU